UUGCUACCUGAUUCAGCGGCGGACGGGUGAGUAAUGCCUAGGAAUCUGCCCGGUAGUGGGGGACAACGUUUCGAAAGGAACGCUAAUACCGCAUACGUCCUACGGGAGAAAGUGGGGGAUCUUCGGACCUCACGCUAUCGGAUGAGCCUAGGUCGGAUUAGCUAGUUGGUGAGGUAAUGGCUCACCAAGGCGACGAUCCGUAACUGGUCUGAGAGGAUGAUCAGUCACACUGGAACUGAGACACGGUCCAGACUCCUACGGGAGGCAGCAGUGGGGAAUAUUGGACAAUGGGCGAAAGCCUGAUCCAGCCAUGCCGCGUGUGUGAAGAAGGUCUUCGGAUUGUAAAGCACUUUAAGUUGGGAGGAAGGGCAGUAAGUUAAUACCUUGCUGUUUUGACGUUACCAACAGAAUAAGCACCGGCUAACUUCGUGCCAGCAGCCGCGGUAAUACGAAGGGUGCAAGCGUUAAUCGGAAUUACUGGGCGUAAAGCGCGCGUAGGUGGUUCAGCAAGUUGGAUGUGAAAGCCCCGGGCUCAACCUGGGAACUGCAUCCAAAACUACUGAGCUAGAGUACGGUAGAGGGUGGUGGAAUUUCCUGUGU
rnacentral:rRNA from 1 species